rnacentral:tRNA from 1 species
GUUAAUGUAGCUUAUAACAAAGCAAAGCACUGAAAAUGCUUAGAUGGAUAACCAAAAUCCCAUAAACA